AAGAAGCCAAAAGGUGUCACAGCACUGGCAGUGAGGACAAACUGGGGUUGUGUUUGGACAUAGCUGUGCCCAUCUGAUGGCUGAGAAUGCCAGAGAAGGGAGCAGCUCGAGCCAUACAGGUUUUUCCAGGGAUCAGUCAAAUUCCAAAGCUAAACUGUCUGGCACUGAUCCCACCUGCCAUGGUUGGCCAUGCCCAAAGCAGCCAGGACACAUCUGCACAGGCUCUGAUUCCCCUGGGAUUGCAGUGGAUACAGCUAAAGGUGAGCCCAGAAGGAUCAACAUUAAAAGUCAGACUGCAUUACAGUCUAGCAAAGGCAAACAAGAACUGAUGAACAGGAAAGCUCCCAGCACAAACAGCUUUUAAACAAUGAAAUGUUCCCAGCUUUGAGCUACUCCUCCUUGUUGUUCUCAGACUUUGGAAGGUACUGGCCCUUUGGGAGAUGAACAAUUGAGCCACAGGGCUCCCUUUUAGAAGAGACACUCACAGAAAUGAUGGUGACAUUUGCUCUACUGAGUCAGCUCUUCCUUGGCAGGGCUGUGAGCUGAGAAUUUCCAGUUAUCUGCACUUACUCCAGUAAAAUAAUUACCAGGAGCAGCCCAAAUGCUGCUCUAGAGAGAGCACAACUCAGCUGGGAGCCAUCUGUGCUGCCUAAUCCUACAAAGUGACUCUAACAGCCAGGAACCAGCCCUCCAACAGGACUUUCUCUACUUGCCACAAAGCACACAUUUACCCUGAGAGAGAACAUCCACGGAGGGCUGGUCUGCAUUGAUGGAUUUCAGAACUUUCUGGUAGAUGUGGAAAAUCUCGGGGAAGUUUCUGUGAUAUUCCAGCAGCUUCCUGGACACCUCCUGCUCUGAGAGAUCUUCUGGUUUCACCAGUCUCUGCUGCACCUGGGGGUCACUUGGCCAGUCAAAGGUUGUGUGGAAAACCUCUGCAGGGAACAUGGUUAGGAGCUGAGAGCAUGAAUUAACAGAUCUCUCAUUAAAAAUGUCCCUCUUCAUUCCACUCCUCAAAA